UACGAAGGUCCCAAGCGUUGUUCGGAAUCACUGGGCGUAAAGGGAGCGUAGGCGGCGUGGUAAGUCAGAUGUGAAAUCCCGGGGCUCAACCCCGGAACUGCAUCCGAUACUGCCAUGCUAGAGGAUUGGAGAGGUAGCUGGAAUUCUUGGUGUAGCAGUGAAAUGCGUAGAGAUCAAGAGGAACACUCGUGGCGAAAGCGGCCAGCUGGGCCGUCCCUGACGCUGAGGCGCGAAGGCGUGGGGAGCGAACGGG
rnacentral:rRNA from 1 species